AAGAUUUCAUAAAUUAAUUAUGUUCAUAAAGCCACACGUGUGGAUCAUUUCCUAAGUUUCCUUGUAAAAUAUUUUAGAAUCCUACCAUCAAAUACAAAAUCAAUGAGAAUAAUAAUUGUAUUUUCUUUCCAUUUAGGAACUUCUGCCAGAUUAUGAUGCUCUGGCAACUACAUACAUACUACAGCAAGUGAUUGUGAACAAACAUAACACCCUCACGAGACAAGUGAAGCCCUCUUCUAGCAACAUGCUGAGGAAGGAAUGGAGUGCUGCUGCACAAGCAAAUGCUAAAAGAUGGGAAGAUGCAUGUACUUUCUCUCAGAGUCCUGAUAGUGAAAGAACAACUACUACAGCAUGUGGUGAAAAUCUCUUCAUGUCAACUGUCUGAACAGCAUGGUCAGAUGUCAUUCAGGCCUGUUAUAAUGAAAGGAAAGACUUUGUGUAUGGCAUUGGGCCAAAUAGACCAGGAGCAAUGAUAGUCCAUUAUACUCAGGUAGGAGACAUAUAACUUAGUACAACCUGAUCUUUACUCAUACAGCUGUACAAUGUCACUAAGGCAGGGGUGAGCAAAAUUCAGCCCGCGGGCUGAAUGUGACCUGCCAGGCCAUUCUAUCUGGCCCGCGGGGCCUAAAAAUUUUAGAAUAUUAAUAUUUAUCUGCCCCUGGCUGCCUCUCAUGUGGCCCUCAAUGGUUUGUCAAAACUCAGUAAGCGGCCUACCCCCCCAAAAAUAAUUGCCUGCCCCUGCACUAAUUGCUCGAGCUCAUCAUUGGCAUUGAUUCUUCCACUUAGGUGCUACAACCUCUAAAAGUUAAGCACCUUGCUUCAGGUGGGUGAUCACAAUUGACAGGGUCAUUUAGACAAGUUAGGGUUCUUGAAUGAGUUAUUUUUUUUUGUGCAGUUGGUUCCCUAAAAGCACUCUACAACUGGGACAUAAAACAUGUGCACAGCUGCAGAGCACUUUUAAAAUAGCUGAUCAUGCAAAAAAUUAAGCCUCGUGAAAUCAGCUCUUAGCUGAAGGCAUUAUAGAACAGAGCAUCAAGGUUUAAAUGUUAACAUCUUUGUGGGGCUGGGCAGGUGCUCACACCCGUGGACAUUGAUUCUGACCAUCCUCACAGGAGAUAAUAUUUUACUUUGUGGUUCCUGCAUCUUGUAAAACAACUUGAGCAAAUUUUUAGAAAAAACAUCCAGGGUUGAUUUAAAGUAUCCACAUACUAACGAUUCUGUUUUGCUAUUUGAGUUUCAUUUGAGUUUCAUUUUUUGUUACGUCCUGUAUGUCCUUCUGCAAAAUAGGGUGUAUAAGAGCAUAUAAUUUUUAUGGUUCCUUUCCUACUUGAUGUGACAUAUUUUCCUAUAUUGCAUA